rnacentral:rRNA from 1 species
GAGCCGAAGCCAGUCGAAGAUACCAGCUGGCUGCAACUGUUUAUUAAAAACACAGCACUGUGCAAACACGAAAGUGGACGUAUACGGUGUGACGCCUGCCCGGUGCUGGAAGGUUAAUUGAUGGGGUUAUCCGUAAGGAGAAGCUCUUGAUCGAAGCCCCAGUAAACGGCGGCCGUAACUAUAACGGUCCUAAGGUAGCGAAAUUCCUUGUCGGGUAAGUUCCGACCUGCACGAAUGGCGUAAUGAUGGCCAGGCUGUCUCCACCCGAGACUCAGUGAAAUUGAACUCGCUGUGAAGAUGCAGUGUACCCGCGGCAAGACGGAAAGACCCCGUGAACCUUUACUAUAGCUUGACACUGAACAUUGAGCCUUGAUGUGUAGGAUAGGUGGGAGACUUUGAAGUGUGGACGCCAGUCUGCAUGGAGUCAACCUUGAAAUACCACCCUUUAACGUUUGAUGUUCUAACCUAGGUCCAUGAUCUGGAUCGGGGACCGUGUCUGGUGGGUAGUUUGACUGGGGCGGUCUCCUCCUAAAGAGUAACGGAGGAGCACGAAGGUUGGCUAAGCAUGGUCGGACAUCAUGCGGUUAGUGCAAAGGCAUAAGCCAGCUUGACUGUGAGAGUGACGGCUCGAGCAGGUACGAAAGUAGGUCUUAGUGAUCCGGUGGUUCUGAAUGGAAGGGCCAUCGCUCAACGGAUAAAAGGUACUCCGGGGAUAACAGGCUGAUACCGCCCAAGAGUUCAUAUCGACGGCGGUGUUUGGCACCUCGAUGUCGGCUCAUCACAUCCUGGGGCUGAAGUAGGUCCCAAGGGUAUGGCUGUUCGCCAUUUAAAGUGGUACGCGAGCUGGGUUUAGAACGUCGUGAGACAGUUCGGUCCCUAUCUGCCGUGGGCGUUGGAAGAUUGAGAGGGGUUGCUCCUAGUACGAGAGGACCGGAGUGAACGCACCACUGGUGUUCGGGUUGUCAUGCCAAUGGCAUUGCCCGGUAGCUAAGUGCGGAAGAGAUAACCGCUGAAAGCAUCUAAGCGGGAAACUUGCCUCGAGAUGAGUCUUCCCUGUCACCUUGAGUGACCUAAAGGAACGUUUAAGACUAAGACGUUGAUAGGCUGGGUGUGUAAGCGUAGCGAUACGUUGAGCUAACCAGUACUAAUGAACCGUGAGGCUUAACCUG